ACUGUCUGCGCUCGUUACCACAGAAACAAACUUGAAGCAUUAAGGCAGCGAUGAGUCAGGGUUGUUUUCGCCUGCUAGUCGGGGCACACCUUAAUCCCCUGCAGACCUGCAUCCUUGUCCAGAUGGCAGCCUCAAUGUGUGUCUCCGCCGUUCAGAUCCGCACAUUAACAACCUGAAUGAACUUGUUAUUCGUCUAUCUCCUUUCUGGCUCUAUAGGCCGUGCUCUCCAGCCGUCGGACUGCACCAUCCUUUCCCUGCGCAGCGCUGCAUGGCAACGGGAGGAGGAGGCUGCGCGGGAUAAGGGAGGGUACCGCGGCCCCACGUGUCCUCCUCGCCGCAGACCCUUCGCAGUUCUGCUCGGUUUCCCAUCCCUCCGUUUCCGCAUACCGCACACACACAUAUACAACUCCAGCCAUACACCCAGCGCCUACUACGCAUCCGCGCAGCGCUGCGGAGCGAUGAUUCCGCGAUGCGCGCUCUCUCUUUCCUCGCCGAUCCCAUCGCCGAUCAGUCUGUAGGCCCGGAUCGAUUCAUUUUUCAUCUUUCUGAUAUGCAAAUCCAGACCCUCCGUGGCAGUGCUGACCGGAGCUGAGAGGGCGAGAGGUAGAGAGGGGGGAGAGAUGAGAGGACGCGCAUCAUCAGAUGUUUAGCAGAUUAACUUUGGAUCCUCGCCAUCAUCUCUGCUGUGCGUUUUUUGAUCUUUUUCCUCCUCUCCACCUGCCGGGCUUCCUGACAUUUGGCGGGGGUUCUCCAUGCGGUAAUCGGAGGGAAUAUGUGAAGAUCAUGCUGGCGGUGUGGUGCUUCAUGGUCUUUGGUGCAGUGGGCGAGAGGCUUGCAGUGUCAGGUGCAGAUAGAGGACUGUGGGACUGGUUUGCCCCCUCAGGCCAGCUGGAUAAUGGGGAAACUGAGAUCACCUAUCCAAAGCGACUGGUGCAGCAGAUCAAGUCAGAGGAGGAAAUGGCUCAUAACUUCUUGGAUACCAGGGUGAAGAACAGCAGUGGGGACAGCUUACCUGUCCACCUGGCUCUGAGCUGCUUUCAAGUCGAAGCCUUCGGACACACCUUCACUCUUGACCUGGAACUAAACCAUCACCUGCUGUCUUCAGAUUAUGUGGAGAGGCACUUUAACUACAAUGGCAAACCACUUCAGUCUGUGGGAGGAGAGCACUGCUACUACCAAGGAAGACUAAGAGGUUUACCAGAGUCCUGGGCAGCUGUCUCCACUUGUCAUGGCCUCUGUGGGAUGUUCUCUGAUGGUUUCUACUCUUAUGGAAUUGAGCCCGUUCACAAUGUGAGCUGGAAGGACGAAGGAGCUCACUUAAUUCGCAGGAUGCCCGAUAUCAGACUUUCCCGGCACUGUCCAGAGUGUGCAGAGGACAGUGAGCAGGACAGCAGUGAGAGUGUUGAAGAUGACAGUAGACCAGAGCAAACGGAGGACCAGCAGGUGACCGGGGUGCUGAGAAGAUCCAAGAGGUUUGUCCGCAGGCCCUCUGUCCAGACAGAGACCAAAUACAUUGAGCUCAUGGUGGUAAAUGACUAUGAUCUGUUUGUGCAGCUGCGUCACUCAAGCAGCCAAACCAAAAACUUUGCCAAAGCUGUAGUCAACACAGCAGACACAAUCUUUCAGGAGCAGCUGAACACCAGGAUUGUUUUGGUGGCCAUGGAGACCUGGACCUCGGAAAACCUGAUGCCAGUUGUGGAGGACCCGCUAAUCACGCUGCAGAACUUCAUGAAGUACAGGAAGGACAGCAUCAGGGAGCAGAGCGACGUUGUCCAUCUUUUCUCAGGGCGUACAUUUCAUAGUAGCCGCAGUGGGACAGCCUACACAGGAGGGGUGUGUUCUCCAACGAAAGGAGGAGGAAUUAAUGAGUAUGGGAGUGUCGGGGCAAUGGCCAUCACUUUGUGUCAGAGUCUUGGCCAGAACAUCGGGAUGAGAUGGAACAACGCAAGAGCCUCAGCAGGUGACUGCAGAUGCCCAGAUGCCUGGGUGGGCUGCAUAAUGGAAGACACCGGAUUUUAUCUGCCCAGAAAGUUUUCUCGCUGUAGUGUUGACGAGUACAUCCAGUUCUUGCUCCAGGGCGGUGGGAGCUGCCUCUUCAACAAGCCCAAUAAGCUGUUGGACCCUCCAGAGUGUGGAAACGGCUUUGUGGAGCCAGGAGAAGAGUGUGACUGUGGAUCCCAGGUGGAAUGUGCCCGUAGCGGAGGAGCCUGCUGUAAAAAGUGUACUCUUACCCAUGACGCCAUGUGCAGCAAUGGACUCUGCUGCAGUGGCUGUAAAUAUGAGCUGAGAGGUGUUGUCUGUCGAGAGGCCGUGAACGACUGUGAUAUUCCCGAAACCUGCACAGGAGACUCCAGCCAGUGCCCUCAUAAUGUCCACAAGCUGGAUGGUUACAUGUGUGACAACAGCCAGGGACGCUGCUAUGGUGGACGCUGCAGGACUCGUGAUGGACAGUGCAAAGGACUCUGGGGCUAUAAUUCAGCAGACAGGUUCUGUUAUGAGAAGCUGAACGCUGAAGGUACAGAGAAGGGGAACUGUGGUCGGGGGGCUGAAGGGAAAGGCUGGCUGCAGUGCAACAAGCCGGAUGUAUUAUGUGGCUUCCUUUUCUGUGCAAACGUCACAACAAAGCCAAAAUUUGGUGAUCUGCAGGGUGAGGUGACCAGCUUUACCCUGUACCAUCAGAACAAGUACCUGGACUGCAGAGGUGGCCACGCACUGCUAGAGGAUGGCUCCGACAUGGGCUAUGUGGAGGACGGCACACCCUGCGGUCCGAACAUGAUGUGUUUGGAGAGACGCUGCCUCCCUGUCGCAGCGUUUAACCUCAGCACCUGUACAGGAUCUAAACUUGGACACAUUUGCUCUGACCACGGGACCUGCAGCAACGAGGUGAAGUGCAUCUGUGACCCGGACUACACAGGAAAGGACUGCAGCGUUUUCGAUCCGAUCCCUGAGCCCACCGUCCCCACAGGCCCGGAGAAAAAAGUCUGCCAAUGAGACAGAGAAAUUAAGCAGCUGCUCUUUUAGGCCCAAAACUGCCACCCUGAGCAAGAGGGUGUCCAGCUGAGAGAGCAGGGAGGGGGAAUAAGAACAAAGAACAUUCGAAGAGGAAGAUCUGGAGGAGGAUAAGAUCACUGUCUGUCUCUGUACGUGUCCUGUCCAUGCUUGUCUUCCUCCUCGCACCGUGUCGUUUCCACGUUAAAGAAGAGGGGAAUGAAAAAAAGAACACACAAGUCUUCCAUUUCAGCCCUGGGAUCUCUCCAAAUCUAUGUAGAUGAUCACUUCCUCCAAACUCCCGUCUGCUCCUUCCAUUUGUCCUCCUUUGGGACCCUCACCAUCCUGGGGCCCAUGAGGCUCCUCUCGCCAUACCAGCCAGAUCACACUCAUGUGGCUGCUGCCAGCUGAGGAUUGUGUCCAGGCUUCACCUAAAGCAAGGAUGUGGCUCUCUCUGUGGGUGACACCAGGGGUCCCUAUGAAUGUGCUUUGGUGUCUUCUUCUCACAGCUCAGACAUUCUGGGGAAAAAAAAGUACAUGUCGAUGGUGGACCAAUUUGAUAAGACACUCAGACCUGCCAGGAGACCAGCCACUUUUUCAGUCCAAGAUUCAAAGCUGGACGAGUGCACAGACCGAACUAAUGUGACAGAAAAUGAAAUGUUGGCUCUUUUUUUUUUUCCUUACAAAAAAUGGACCUGAGGUUCAGUACCUCCAUAACUGGCUGUGACUUGGUGCACCUGUAACUGGACAGCUAUCAGUUCAACAUUUGGAGACAAGAAAACCACUGCAAAAGAAAUCCUACAAUUGUCUGUUUGCAUGUUUUCCAAAGAGAGGCUAAGGAAAAACUAAUUGUCAAAAUAAGUUGUUCGCAGUGCCUUGCAAAAAUAUUCAUAACCCUGACAACCUCUUGUCACAUAAUGAAAGGUUUGUAGAUUAAGUGAAGCUGAAUAGCUUUUCACUUUUUUAAACAAAUCUGAAGUUUGGUUUUCAUUUGUAUCCACUCCCCUUUAAGUAACCAUUCACCUUCAAAAAUGAUCUAAUUAGUAAAUAGGCAAGCUGUUAAUGCUACAGCUAUUAAUCAUGAAUUUUACAAAUCUUGCUUUUAUGAAAGAAGAAGAAAGUCAGCUUUGAGCAAAAAAAAAAAAGACAUAAGUCAGUUUUGUAGUUCAACAAGGCCAUAAGGCACAGACAAAUUUAAAAGGGUAUGUGCAUCAGAAAACCAACAUUUCAUGUGCACCUGAACACACAAUGCCCCUGAUGAAAGAUGGUAGUAUCAUGAUUUGGGGCAUGAUUUUCGACGAGGAAGCUAGUCAGAGUAAAAGAGAAAGAUUGAUGGAGCUUAAGACUGAGCAAAACUGGAAUACAAUCUGUUAAGAGACUGAAAAACUCUCGAGAUUGGGGUGAAGGUUCACCGUCAGCAGGACGACAGCCUUAAAGGCCCAUACCUAAAUCUAAAUGACAAACUGUGGUAAGGCGUGCUGUUUCUUUUCAAAAACAUUGUGCAUAAAAUUUCACUGUGCUUGAGCUAAUUUUGUAAAAAAUAAUAGGACAUUAUGUUCUCUGGAUGUGCAAAGCGAGUAAAGAGAUAACCCAUAAGAUUUCCACCUGUAAUAACGAUAACAAGAGGUGACUCUCCAGGUUUGCGAUCCAUGCAUCUCUUUCCUUCUAUUAUCCACUACUUUAUAACCCUAACCCUAAAAUGCCCAUAAAAUACAUUGAAACCUGAUUGCAAAAAAUAAAAAAAUAAAAAUGUGCAAAGGUCCUAAAGGUUUUAAUACUUUUGCAAGGCACUGUAUCAAUAAUUCUCAGUUUAAGAGCAUCUUAUGCUCCACUAACAUCCUCCAUAUGAGUUUUCAGGCAAAACAAGAAGCUAUGUUGUUAUGGUUUUGGGAUCAUUUUUUAAAAGAAAACCACUAAACUAUGAAGCAGCAGAGACCGUAACUUAGUGUUUUAAAUGUCAGAACGACCGACGUACAUUCCACUAUAUCUCUCCGUGUGCCCUCACCUCUUCCAAAGUGUGUAGAAGGUUUACUCUGUAUGUCUGUGAUUGUGUGAGUGAAAGAUAUUUUUAAAGAAAGCCAGAAUGUACAGUAUUUGUGUUUACAUUUAAUGUAGGGGGCAGUUGCGUCCAUGCACAUGUGUACACUCCUCUUAGGAAGGCAGGUUUUACCUCUUGUUCUCUUUCUAUGACCUGUUGGUGGCUGCAGCCAGGCAGCGCAUUACCAGUUUUUAAAUCUUGCAUCUACAGGAAACGAGCACCUGCCCACUGUACGCACACCCAUUUGUAAAUAUGUGCAAAUUAUACUGAAUGUUAAAUGAAAUCCAUGAAGCUUUUCUGAAAGCUGUGUUAAAAUAAUUAGUUUUGUUUCUACUAAUGAAUAGCCUCUGAUCUCUUGUCACAACCUGCAUUUGCAAAGUCCUCCAAACACAAACCCUUUCAUGUAUCUCUAAAUGUGGCUCAACAGCCCUGUCUUUCACAAAAUCUUUUGUACGUUUUGUUGAUAGUCACCAAGCCUCUGAGGAAAAAGCCCCCCCGACCCACCUACCACCAAAAAAAUUAAGAAAAAAAAAUCUCUGAGGACCCUUUGCUGUACAUGAGAUUAAAGUUCUGGUUUGGGGUCCAAGAGGCUAUUUGUUUGAUGCUGUCGGUGUGAAUGAGGUCAGUUUGGUUUGUAUGAGGUUUGCAUUUGCCAGAUGCACUAUUGUUAUUACAAUAUGUACAGAGGGCGCAUCAGAUGUGAUCAAGAGGGGGUUAAAAAAAAGAAAAAGAGGCAUCUUUCACCAUAUUUUUAGACACCAUCUUUUUGGACUGAGACAAUGGAAAAACCAUCAACUGAUGCUUGUAGAUGGACUGAAAUGAACAAAAAUAAAAUUCUGAAACAUGAA